rnacentral:rRNA from 1 species
AACGUACGCUGGCGGCACGCCUAACACAUGCAAGUCGAACGAAGUAGCAAUACUUAGUGGCAGACGGGUGAGUAACAUGUAGGUAUCUGCCCUUUGGCCUGGAAUAACACGAGGAAACUUGUGCUAAUACCGGAUAAGUCUUUACGGAGAAAGCUUUAUGCACCAUUGGAUGAGCCUGCACUUGAUUAGUUUGUUGGUGGGGUAAUGGCCUACCAAGACUGUGAUCAAUAGCUGAUUUGAGAGGAUGAUCAGCCACAUUGGGACUGAGACACGGCCCAAACUCCUACGGGAGGCAGCAGUGGGGAAUCUUGCACAAUGGAGGAAACUCUGAUGCAGCGAUGCCGCGUGAGUGAAGAAGGCCCUUGGGUUGUAAAGCUCUUUCGUCGGGGAAGAAAAUGACUGUACCCGAAUAAGAAGGUCCGGCUAACUUCGUGCCAGCAGCCGCGGUAAUACGAAGGGACCUAGCGUAGUUCGGAAUUACUGGGCUUAAAGAGUUCGUAGGUGGUUGAAAAAGUUAGUGGUGAAAUCCCAGAGCUUAACUCUGGAACUGCCAUUAAAACUUUUCAGCUAGAGUAUGAUAGAGGAAAGCAGAAUUUCUAGUGUAGAGGUGAAAUUCGUAGAUAUUAGAAAGAAUACCAAUUGCGAAGGCAGCUUUCUGGAUCAUUACUGACACUGAGGAACGAAGGCAUGGGUAGCGAAGAGGAUUAGAUACCCUCGUAGUCCAUGCCGUAAACGAUGUGUGUUAGACGUUGGAAAUUUAUUUUCAGUGUCGCAGGGAAACCGAUAAACACACCGCCUGGGGAGUACGACCGCAAGGUUAAAACUCAAAUGAAUUGACGGGGACCCGCACAAGUAGUGGAGCAUGUGGUUUAAUUCGAAGAUACGCGCAAAACCUUACCAACACUUGACAUGUUCGUCGCGACUCUAAGAGAUUAGAGUUUUCGGUUCGGCCGGACGAAACACAGGUGCUGCAUGGCUGUCGUCAGCUCGUGUCGUGAGAUGUUGGGUUAAGUCCCGCAACGAGCGCAACCCUCACUUUUAGUUGCCAUCAUUAAGUUGGGCACUCUGAAAGAACUGCCAGUGAUAAGCUGGAGGAAGGUGGGGAUGACGUCAAGUCCUCAUGGCCCUUACGUGUUGGGCUACACACGUGCUACAAUGGUAUCUACAACAGGAAGCAAGACUGCGAAGUUAAGCAAAUCCCUAAAAGAUACCUCAGUUCGGAUUGCACUCUGCAACUCGAGUGCAUGAAGCUGGAAUUACUAGUAAUCGUGGAUCAGCGUGCCACGGUGAAUGCGUUCCCGGGUCU